UACGUAGGGUGCGAGCGUUGUCCGGAAUUAUUGGGCGUAAAGAGCUUGUAGGCGGUUUGUCGCGUCUGCUGUGAAAUCCCGAGGCUCAACCUCGGGCCUGCAGUGGGUACGGGCAGACUGGAGUGCGGUAGGGGAGAAUGGAAUUCCUGGUGUAGCGGUGAAAUGCGCAGAUAUCAGGAGGAACACCGGUGGCGAAGGCGGGUCUCUGGGCCGUAACUGACGCUGAGGAGCGAAAGCGUGGGGAGCGAACAGG
rnacentral:rRNA from 1 species